rnacentral:rRNA from 1 species
UUAAGUAAGAAAGGGCGUACGGUGGAUGCCUAGGCACUUGAAACUGAAGAAGGACGCAACAAACGGCGAAACGCGGCGGGGAGCUGUACGUAAGCAAAGAUCCGCCGGUAUCCGAAUGGGGGAACCCGGCAUGCGUAAUAGCAUGUCAUCCGCAGAUGAACAAAUAGUCUGCGAGAGAGGUACCCGGGGAACUGAAACAUCUAAGUACCCGGAGGAAAAGAAAACAACAGUGAUUCCCUGAGUAGCGGCGAGCGAAAGGGGAGGAGCCCAAACCAGACCGAGGUCUGGGGUUGAAGGACCGCGAUACGGCAAGAAUCAUGGUAGGAGAACGGCAUUGAAAGGCCGACCGGAGAGGGUGCAAGUCCCGUAUCCGAAACCGUGAGGAAGCCCAGCGGGAUCCUGAGUACGGCGAGACACGAGAAAUCUUGUCGGAAGCAGGCGGGACCAUCCGUCAAGGCUAAAUAUAAGCAAGUGACCGAUAGUGAACCAGUACCGUGAGGGAAAGGUGAAAAGAACCGCGGGAGCGGAGUGAAAUAGAACCUGAAACCGUAUGCUUACAAGAAGUCAGAGCACGUUAAGGUGUGAUGGCGUGCCUUUUGUAGAAUGAACCGGCGAGUUAUGUUAUCGUGCGAGGUUAAGCAGGAGAUGCGGAGCCGAAGCGAAAGCGAGUCUUAAUAGGGCGGCAGUACGAUGACAUAGACCCGAAACCGUGUGAUCUAGCCAUGACCAGGUUGAAGUUCAGGUGAAACUGAAUGGAGGACCGAACCGACCCCCGUUGAAAAGUUGGCGGAUGAGUUGUGGCUAGGGGAGAAAUUCCAAUCGAACACGGAUAUAGCUGGUUCUCCCCGAAAUAGCUUUAGGGCUAGCGUCGAGGAUGAGUCUUGUGGAGGUAGAGCACUGAAUGUACGAUGGCCCCAUCCCGGGGUACUGAGUAUAAUCAAACUCCGAAUGCCAUGAGAUAUUCCCGGCAGUCAGACCGUGGGUGAUAAGGUCCAUGGUCAAAAGGGAAACAGCCCAGACCGCCAGUUAAGGUCCCAAAAUGUAUGCUAAGUGGAAAAGGAUGUGGGGAUGCACAGACAACUAGGAGGUUGGCUCAGAAGCAGCCAUCCUUCAAAGAGUGCGUAACAGCUCACUAGUCGAGUGACCCUGCGCCGAAAAUGUACCGGGGCUAAGCAUACUACCGAAGCUGCGGAUUUGUAGUAAUACAAGUGGUAGGGGAGCGUUCCAUGCACGUGGAAGCCAUACCGAAAGGAGUGGUGGAGAGCAUGGAAGUGAGAAUGCCGGUGUGAGUAGCGAGAUGCAGGUGAGAAUCCUGCACACCGAUAGCCCAAGGAUUCCAGGGGAAGGUUCGUCCGCCCUGGGUAAGUCGGGACCUAAGGCGAGGCCGAAAGGCGUAGUCGAUGGAAAACAGGCAGAUAUUCCUGUACCCGCGAUGGAAAUGAAGGAAUGACGGAGAAGGCUAGCAUGAGCCACUUAUUGGAUUGUGGUCGAAGCGAAUAGCAGGUGCAUAGUAAAAUGCGUGCACGGAAUGUAAAACGUGAUAGGUAAGCGAAACCUUUGGGGAGUAGCGAAGCAUGCGAGGCCAGCUUCCAGGAAAAGUUUCUAGUGCUGAUUCCAUAGCGGCCCGUACCAAAACCGACACAGGUGGGCAAGGAGAGUAUCCUGAGGUGAGCGAGAGAACUGUUGCCAAGGAACUCGGCAAAAUGACUCCGUAAGUUAGCGAGAAGGAGUGCUUAUGAAAGUAAGCCGCAGUGAAGAGGCCCAAGCGACUGUUUAACUAAAACACAGCUCUCUGCGAAGUCGCAAGACGAAGUAUAGGGGGUGACGCCUGCCCGGUGCUGGAAGGUUAAGAGGAUUUGUCAGUUUCGACGAAGCAAUGAAUUGAAGCCCCAGUGAACGGCGGCCGUAACUAUAACGGUCCUAAGGUAGCGAAAUUCCUUGUCAGGUAAGUUCUGACCCGCACGAAAGGCGUAACGAUUUGGGCGCUGUCUCGGCAGCAGACUCGGUGAAAUCUUAGUACCUGUGAAAAUGCAGGUUACCCGCAACUAGACGGAAAGACCCCAUGGAGCUUUACUGCAGCCUGAUAUUGGAUUUUGAUCAGAGAUGUACAGGAUAGGUGGGAGACGAAGAAGGAUGCACGCCAGUGUAUCUGGAGUCGACGUUGGGAUACCACUCUUGUCUGAUUGGAGUUCUAACCUGCGUCCAUGAAGCUGGACGGGGGACCGUGUCAGGCAGGCAGUUUGACUGGGGCGGUCGCCUCCCAAAGAGUAACGGAGGCGCCCAAAGGUACGCUCAGAUUGGACGGAAAUCAAUCGGCGAGUGCAAAUGCAGAAGCGUGCUUGACUGUGAGACAGACAGGUCGAACAGGGACGAAAGUCGGGAUUAGUGAUCCGGCGGUGCCGAAUGGAAGGGCCGUCGCUCAACGGAUAAAAGCUACCCUGGGGAUAACAGGCUGAUCUCGCCCAAGAGUUCACAUCGACGGCGAGGUUUGGCACCUCGAUGUCGGCUCAUCGCAUCCUGGAGCUGAAUUCGGUUCCAAGGGUUGGGCUGUCCGCCCAUUAAAGCGGUACGCGAGCUGGGUUCAGAACGUCGUGAGACAGUUCGGUCCCUAUCUGUUGUGGGCGUAGGAGAUUUGAGGAGAGCUGUCCUUAGUACGAGAGGACCGGGAUGGACCUACCGCUGGUGCACCGGUUGUUGUGCCAACAGCAUAGCCGGGUAGCUAAGUAGGGAAGGGAUAAGCGCUGAAAGCAUCUAAGCGCGAAGCCUACUCCAAGAUGAGAUCUCCCAUACGCAAGUAGUAAGACCCCUUGAAGACGACGAGGUAGAUAGGUCAGGGAUGGAAGCGCAGCGAUGCGUGGAGUUGACUGAUACUAAUAGGUCGAGGACUUAAUC